GGGAAACCGAAACCCAGGUCCGGGUCGCCUGCCAGCCCCAGCAGCCCCACACAGCCUGAAGAUCCAUUGUAUCUAGAAUCCAUGGGACUUGUGAACACCUAGAUUCAGAAGUGAGAGAAGGAGAAAACAGGGGUGACUUUAAGGAUGGAUUAUACUAUCCUUAUUUAUGAGUCAACCCAUUUUCCAUGACCUAACCAUUAAAUUAACCAUUUCUCAAUCAUUUUAGAGGCUUGUCAUUGCUCUGGGAUGUCUGAUUGAAGGUGUGAGCUAUGCAGCUGGAGGGAGUUCCUACGUUCCUGUAGUCGAUCCUGUGAAUUGUAGCCUCCUUGGUCUCCUCAACUCGGGGAAUCCGGAUGGUUCUAAAGACAUCCCCCCACUUUGGGCUGCAUUCUGGAAACUCCCCCAAGGCCCUCUGAGGAGCACCUUGGCCUCAACUGGUUCCUGUCCUUUCCCUCGGGAAUUUAUCAGUUCUAAAUGCAUCAGAACAGAAGGCAAGGAGUGGCCUGAAAUCUCGAAAAAGAAAAGGCAUGAAGUUGGCUGCCCUGGUGCUGGAGAACAAGAAAUAGAAAACAAGGCA